rnacentral:rRNA from 1 species
GACAUGUAUGCAGCGUACUCUCCGGAGUGACGGGUACACUGUGGGGACCGCCGCUGCUAAAGCGGAGGAAGGAAUGGGCAACGGUAGGUCAGUAUGCCCCGAAUAUCCCGGGCUACACGCGAGCUACAAUGGUUGGUACAAUGGGUAUCUACCCCGAAAGGGGAUGGAAAUCUCCUAACGCCAAUCUUAGUUCGGAUCGAGGGCUGCAACUCGCCCUCGUGAAGCUGGAAUCCGUAGUAAUCGCACAUCAACAGUGUGCGGUGAAUACGUCCCUGUCCUUGCACAA